rnacentral:rRNA from 1 species
AUGGCGACUACCACCAUAUCCCUCUCCUCGACCUUCGCCGGCAAGUCAGUGAAGAACGUGGCUUCAUCAGCUCUCUUUGGUGAGGCCCGUGUCACUAUGCGCAAGACCGCUGCAAAGGCCAAGCAGGUUUCAUCAGGCAGCCUGUGGUUCGGUGCCGAUCGUGUGCUCUACCUCGGCCUGCUUUCCGGCGACCCCCCGAGCUACUUGACGGGUGAGUUCCCCGGCGACUACGGAUGGGACACCGCUGGGCUCUCAGCCGACCCCGAGACCUUUGCCAAGAACCGGGAGCACGAGGUGAUCCACUGCCGGUGGGCCAUGCUCGGUGCGCUCGGAUGCGUCUUCCCUGAGCUUUUUGCACGCAACGGCGUCAAGUUCGGCGAGGCCGUAUGGUUCAAGGUCGGUUCCCAGAUCUUCAGCGAGGGUGGCCUUGACUACCUCGGCAACCCCAGCCUCGUGCAUGCCUAG